AUUGAACGCUGGCGGCAGGCCUAACACAUGCAAGUCGAACGAGUGGCGGACGGGUGAGUAAUGUCUGGGAAACUGCCUGAUGGAGGGGGGUAACUACUGGAAACGGUAGCUAAUACCGCAUACCAUCAGAUGUGCCCAGAUGGUAUUAGCUAGUUGGUGGGGGAACGGCUCACCAAGGCGACGAUCCCUAGCUGGUCUGAGAGGAUGACCAGCCACACUGGAACUGAGACACGAUCCAGACUCCGACGGGAGUCAGCAGUGGGGUAUAUUUCACAAUUGGCGCAAGCCUGUGGCAGCCAUGUCGCGUGUAUGAAGAAGGCCUUCGUGUUGUAAAGUACUUUCAGCGGGGAGGCGUUACCCGCAGAAGAAGCACCGGCUAACUCCGUGCCAGCAGCCGCGGUAAUAC
rnacentral:rRNA from 1 species